rnacentral:rRNA from 1 species
UACGUAGGGGGCAAGCGUUGUCCGGAUUCAUUGGGCGUAAAGAGCGUGUAGGCGGCCAGGUAGGUCGGUUGUGAAAACUGGAGGCUCAACCUUCAGAGGUCGACCGAAACCAUCUGGCUAGAGUCCGGGAGAGGAGAGUGGAAUUCCUGGUGUAGCGGUGAAAUGCGCAGAUAUCAGGAGGAACACCGGUGGCGAAGGCGGCGUCCUGGACCAACACUGACACUGAGGAGCGAAAGCCAGGGGAGCAAACGGG